rfam:Saccharothrix espanaensis DSM 44229 complete genome
CCGGCUCCGGUUCACCUCACCCGUGGUUCCCGCAACCACCGAGGACCCGGCGGCC